CUGUGCUAGACGGGGAGCUUGCGGUGCCCUGUAAACUACAAUCCGCAAUAGUAGUGUCGAACGCCAAUCGAGGCUUUUGUUAUGGUUGGUUGCGCAUGGCAAGGAGUGAUGAUAGCAAGGUCCCGUGCAAUGUCAUACUGCGAACCGUGUCAGAGCUUGACCGCAGCAGCACUAAACAGGCGUUGGCGUGUGCCACGGGGAAACUUUGAAGGAGCCACCUACUAUGUUCCCACUUCGGUUUCAAACGUCGGAAUUGGUGCACAG
rnacentral:SRP_RNA from 1 species